rnacentral:tRNA from 1 species
AAGAUGUUAGUAAAACAUUAUAUUGCCUUGUCAAGGCAAAGUUGCGGGUUAAUCUCCCGCACAUCUUA